GAAAACCGAGCACCCGCUUCACGCUGUCACCGCGUUGGAGACCCCUGAACCGGCUUCUUGCGUGACAGAUGUGACGUUUAAGAGGAGACUAGCCAAGAACAUAGUUUCUUCUCAGUCAAGCUAGUGAUUCUGUGCAUGCGCGGCCCCCUGGCGGCGACUCUGCGAAACGAUCUGUGCGGCGCCGUCGCAGACGCACGCCGCCUCUCUUCUCGUCGCGGCAUUGGUGGUGAGAGUAGUGUUGACAUGUGCAAGCAGGCACAACAAACAUAUUUAUCUAUACAUCUGGUUCUGUUAGCGUGAUGCCGGCGACGUGUGCCGCUUAUGGAUGCACUUCCCUAGACGUGUCCGGCAGCAACAUUCAUAUGUCCGCUUCCCAUCGGUGAAACGUGAUCGUCAGCACUGUGAAGCGUGGAUCGGGGCUGCCAGGCGCCAAAAUGAAGACGGCAGUCCGUGGCAGCCUUCGGAUUUUGCACGACUGCGCAAAAAACACUUCGUUAAAG